CCAGCCAGAUCAUCUGCUUUUGCGAAAGACGGUCACUGGGGCCCUUCACUUCCACCAGCUGGGAGACAGAAGGGUCAUUCAGGUCUGCAGUUAAACCCAAACUUCUUGCCAUGACCUACAAAACUGUGUAAUCUGGUGCCUGCCAACCACACCAAAGGCUUCCUCUCAGUUCGCGAGACAGACAACAUCUGCCCAACCAAAGGGUACACAUUCAUCACGCUUGCUGUUCCCACCGCCUAGGACACGUCUCCCUGUUCUUCACGUGUCUGACGUCUUCUCCUUCCGUGCUCAGCUUAAAUUCAUCUCUAAGAAGGGUCCUUCCUAUGCACUUCUUCAUGGUGUUUAUCACAAGAUAAAACUGCUCAUUACAUAUCAGCUC